rnacentral:rRNA from 1 species
UACGUAGGGGGCUAGCGUUGUCCGGAAUCAUUGGGCGUAAAGCGCGUGUAGGCGGUCCGGUAAGUCCGCUGUGAAAGUCGGGGGCUCAACCCUCGAAUGCCGGUGGAUACUGUCGGGCUAGAGUGCGGAAGAGGCGAGUGGAAUUCCUGGUGUAGCGGUGAAAUGCGCAGAUAUCAGGAGGAACACCAAUGGCGAAGGCAGCUCGCUGGAACAGUACUGACGCUGAGGCGCGAAAGCGUGGGGAGCGAACAGG